GUGGAUUACAUCGAUCCCAGUGCAUAACUGGUACUUAAUUAAUCGACCCCGAAAGGAUGAAAGGCAAAGUUGACCAUGGCAGAAUCUGAACUCGGAACGUAUCGACAGACGAAAUAUGGCCACGCAUUUCCCCCGGUGUGCUAAUGAUUCUGCCAGCUUGCUGCCUUU